CAGAGCCUCUCCCGGGACGGCGGCGCGAGAGCGCACCUGGCGCUGGUGGCGGGUCCGAGGGCCUCGAGCUUAGGGGCUGUUGGUUGCCUUGAAGGUCGAGGACAGGACAGACAUUGAGGAAAUAAUCCAGGUUCAAGGUCUAGGCUGAGCAGGGAAUGUGUCCUUUCCUGGUCUGUUUCUGCACAGAUAAGGAAGUUGAAGCUCCGAAGAUGAAGUAACCAGCCCAAGUUCACAGAGCUCAGCAGAGUAGAGCUUGGAUCAGAUCCUGGUUCAGCCUUGCUCCCACGUCAGGAUCUUUGCCCCAUGCUUACCAGCUGUUUUCCUAGAGGCUUCAUCCUCGGAGCAAGCUUGGGAGGAGAACAGGUGUUAGCUGUCAGCUUGAUAGAUGAGGAAAUUGAAGUAACUUUCCUAAAGUCUUCGGCUAAUAAAUGUUAAAGCAGAGCCUAAAACUGGAAGCCUCACCAAGAUACCUGCAAACCCCUGAGAACAAGACUUGGAAGACUCAACAAGUGUAGGAUGAGAUCAGCCACCUACAAAGAAGCAGGGUUGGCUAAAAAUGGGCUAUCCAAAUGUCUAAGAAAAUGUAAGCCUCUACAUUGCUUGUGGUUUCAGAAGAGCUGUCAUCUGCCCACCCAGCAUCUAAGAGAGGAGUCUAAAAAGAAGGGCUCUGGUGUAAUUCCACAACAGGGACAGACCAACACCCUGGCUUUUUUAGAAGACAGUGUCCUGUUUCGAGGAAUUGGAAACGGCAGCUGAACGUAGCUUGACACAGUGGAGCCAGUAAGAUUAGCCCAGUCAUCCCCCUGGCCUGCGGAGGAACCUCCUGGUGUGGUUUGCCUUCCUGAGUAGCUUUUCUGUGAGCAGAGUCAGCUGGUCAAAUGUCACUGCUUGGCAGUCUUGUUCUUUUAAAGGGAGUGAGUUGACAUCAUGGGUGUGUACCAUUCUCUCAGCAUUUUCAUUACAUUCUUCCUGAGUUAGAUUAACUCCGAAGCAAGGGACCUGAAGAACUGAGAAACGGGUUCUGAGUGAUGUGACUUCGAUAAGAGUCUUACCUAAAUAACCAAACAACUGCCCAUGCGUGUUAAGCUGUCACAGGAAGUGCAAAGCAGCUGCCAGCUAGGGAAGGCAGGGAACACAAUAAAUAUGGGGUCAUGAAACGAGACCCCAGAACAGGGUGGAGGAAAGUUAGAGUUAACUGAACCAAACUAGAAAAGUAGGUGGAACCUGGGACAGGCCAGGAGGGGGACAGAAGGGAGCCCUCGCCCCCACCCCAUACAGCGGAGACCCCAGUGCAGCAGGGGGCCAACUGCACUGGCUUUGGAGAAUCCUCUGAGCUGGCUGGGGACCUCAUACCUCUUCUGCACUUUCUCCUCCUCAUCUGUACGGUGGGCCUCCCUCAAGGUGGAAGGGAUUAAAUGUGAUAAUGAACAUGCUCUCAUUCUAGUGCCUGCCCUAUAAAUGCUCAAUAAGUGCUUUCUGUCAUAAUCCCUAUCCUUUGGGAUUAGACAUUAAACACAGACUCAAAACUGUUGAAACACACUACAGCAUUAAGUACUCUGCUGCACCAGAACCUUGCUGCAACUGUGGUCUGCCUGUGUGCUCUGCUCCAUGGCUGGCACCGUUCUCUCUAGCACCAGAGAGCCCAGGAACAAAGUUGGCCUACAAGUUCUGGGCCCGGGGCAUUUUCAUUUACUGUUUCCUCUUCCUGGAAUGCUCUUGCCCUAGACAGUGACAGGGUUUGCACAUUCAUUUCAUUUAGGCAUCUGCUCAGAUGGCACAUUAUCAGAGAAAAGCUGUGCUUGACCUACCUCUCUAUAGAAAGUAGCAUCUCUACUGCCACCAGGGCCUAGUGCUCUAUUCAUGUUUCCUGCCUGCUUUCUCCCCACACACUCAUUACCCUUGACAUUCAAUCACGAGUUUAUUGUUUCUCCAAGUGGCAUGCACAUGAGAGCAAGCAUUUGAUUUGGGGCUGUGCUCUUCUUUUUAACAUGCCCUCCUCACUUCCUUCUACUCAAAAGCCUAGAAUGGUUGUCCCUUGAAAGAGGUGGGAGGCUCUUCUCAUUCUAUCACCUAAAGGCAGAUACUUGCCAGUUCCAUAUUGUUAUCAUGUAUACACAGAAGAUAGGACACACUUCAUGUGAUGUAAAAAUCUGUGGCCAUGCCAGUUAGGUAGCUGAUGGACAGCAUUCCAGGGAGAAGGAUGGUAAGUGCAAAGGCUCUGAGGUGGGAGCAGACAGCGAGGCUGGAGUAGAGGAGCUGGGGGCUGAAGUAGAAGUUAAUUCCAAGGUUUCUGGUCUAGAUGGUGAAAGAAUAGAAUUGAUGUUUGCUAAAAUGAGUCAGCUCGGGGGAAGAGCAGGUUUUGGGUAUGUGAAGUUUUCAGAUGCUUGCAGUUUGAACGUAUCUGCCACAAAUCCAGUGGCAUACCAAGUGCUUUACAUACAUUAUGCCCAUUGCACAGGUAGGAAAACUGAGGCACCAGAACUUGCAUCUCAGAACAUGUAUAUAGAAAGGCUAGGCUUUGAACCCUGGCUGUCCUCCAAAGGCCUGUCACUGAGAAGUGCUGGUCAUUAAAGGAAGAGCUAAGAGAGGAGACUUGGCUCAUUUUGGAAAAAUCAAUAAUAAUUUGGGUAUGGUGAACUCACAAAGGUCUUUCUGGAUCUGGAAUGGUAACUUUAUGGAAAUUAAAAGGGAGCCUGAUAUCACGGGAAUUUUGGGGCUGCAAUCCCUUUGGCCUCAGCAAGGUUGCUGGCAAAUCCAUUUCCACGUCCAUCAGGCCAUCAUCACAUGAUGCCAAAACAAUGGAAUGAAAUGUGGAAAAUCUGUUUGAGGUUAUUAUCCUGGGUUAUACUCCAAGUUUUCAUAUUUUCUAAGAUUUGCUUAUUUAGAAAUCAUUCACAAAAAUUAGCAUAAAACAGACAAACCUUUCAAGGCCUUGAUACGCAAUAUGGUCUGCAGACCAGCAGCAAGAGCAUCACCUGGGAGCUGCCGGAAAUGCAGAGCCUCAGGUUCCAUCCCAGACUUUUCUUUUUCUUUUUUUUUUUUUUUUUUUAAGAUUUUAUUUAUUUGAGAGACAGAGAGUGAACGAGAGGGAGCAUGAGCGAGGUGAGGGACAGAGGGAGAAGCUGGCUCCCUGUUGAGCAAGGAUCCUGAAACCAGGCUCGAUCCUGGGACUCUGGGAUCAUGACCUGAGCCAAAGGUAGAUAGAUGCUUAACCGACUAAGCCACCCAGGGGCCCCCCAUCCCAGACUUAUUAAGUCAGAACCUGCAUUUAGCAAGAUGCCCAAGGGAUACAGAUGCUCAUUACAAUUUGAGAAGUCCUUGGCCCGGAGCCGACACGGACAAACUUUUUCCGUAAAAGACUAGAUAGUAAAUAUUUCAGGUUUUACUGGCCUGUCACAAUUAUUGUUUUGUUUUUGUGGUGCAAAAGCAGCCACAGAUAACAUGUAAAGGGUUAGUGUGGCUGUGUUCUAAUGAAACUUUUAUGGAUGCCAAAAUUAGAAUUUUAUGUAAUUUUCAUGUGUCAUACUAUUCUUUUUCUUUCAACUGUUUAAAAAUGUAAAGCUCAUUCUUAGCUCAAAGGCUGUACAAAAAGGCACUCAUUUUCUGACUUGCCUUUUGGGGGCUGACCAUGCCCAAGCCUCCUGCCCCUCACUGGGUGAUCCCCUUCUUUCCUCCCUACGGACAUGGGGCUUGGGCUCCCAUCCCCUCAUGACCUAUGUCAGAAGGUUGAUGGCUUAAGCCUAAUAUAAAAAGCCAUAGAAGAGGGGCGCCUGGCUGGCUCAAUCAAGAUCUGACUCGAUCUUGGGGUCAUGAGUUCGAGUCCCAUGUUGGGUGUAGAAAUUACAAAAAGAAUUAUAAACUUUAAAGACACCUAUUUUUGUUUUUAAAGCCAACAGAGGAACUGAGAUUUUAAAAAUAUACUUUUGCUAGUUACCACAAAUACGGGGGAAUCAGUAGCUAAGGGAGGGGGCUUGUGACAUUUAGUGCAUUUGCUCUCUUUUGCUUUUUUUUUUUUUUAAGACUUUAUUUCUUCAGGAGAGAGAGAGAGAGAGAGAGACAGGCAGAGGGAGAAGCAGGUUCCACGCAGGGAGCCAACGUGGGACUUGAUCCGGGGUCUCCAGGAUCAUGCCCUGGGCUGAGGGCAAGUGCUAAACCGCUAAGCCACCCAGGGAUCCCCUCUUUUGCUCUUCUAUUUGUCUAUCUUGCAUUUCAGCUGUUGGGAAGAAGGAACACACAAUGCAGAGGAAAGACAAUUAUUAAAAAAUAACUUUUGGGGAGGGAGUUGGAAGAGGAAAUAAGAAAAGGGAGGUACUCUCCAGGAGAAUAAGAAGAUCGUUCCGCGGUCAGUGGGCUGUGGGGGAGAAUGGAUGACUCGAUAAAUAAAGCAAAUGGUGUCAAGGGCACUUGCUCAAGAGUUUGUGAAGCAAGCUAGGCGGGAGGAGGCUAUGACAAACACAGAGACAGGAGACUGACUGGCAGAGUCGGAUGAAGGCCGAGACCUGAAUUUUAAAAAUCUGUAGUGUAUGUUUAUGGCAACCAACCACUUUUCCAUUUGGUAGGAAUGGGGAGAAGGGGGGAAAUAAGGUUGACUCAACACUUACUAUAGGUCACGUCAGGCAUGGUUGGAAGACAUUUCCCAUCGUUUCAAUUUUAAUUAAAGCAACUCACGGAAUUAGGUGUGCUGGCCAGUUUUUAGAUAGAGAACCCCAGAGGUGAAGAAGCAGGAUUGGAACCGAGUUUGGUCCAGUCACAAAUACUUUAGUAUUUCAUACUGUCCUGCCUAGUGCAAUGUCUAGUGGAAAUACUGCCUUCAUGAAAUUCCUUAUUUAUUCUUAUGAUGAGAAACCCUCAAUUCUCAGGGGUGGGGGAACAAUAUAAAGAGACUGGGCAGAUGACUUGUUUUUCUCUACUGCCCAUACCACCCUGCACCCCCCCCCCCACCCGACCCCGGCAACA